rnacentral:rRNA from 1 species
UACAUGGGGGUGCAAACGUUGCUCGGAAUUAUUGGGCGUAAAGCGCACGUAGGCGGUUCGUUAAGUCGGAUGUGAAAGCCCCUCGGCUCAACUGAGGAAGUGCACCCGAAACUGGCGAGCUUGAGUACGAAAGAGGAUCGCGGAAUUCCCGGUGUAGAGGUGAAAUUCGUAGAUAUCGGGAGGAACACCGGGUGGCGAAGGCGGCGAUCUGGGUCGAUACUGACGCUGAGGUGCGAAAGCGUGGGGAGCAAACAGGG